GCAUUGGUGGCUCAGUGGUAGAAUGCUUACCUCCCAUGUGGCAGACCCAGGUUUGAUUCCUGGCCAAUGCA
rnacentral:tRNA from 1 species